CAGGUGGAGGCCCAAGAACCACAGCAAAUCCCCUGGGCUCACUUGCCUGGAUCCUUCUCUGCAGAGGUGGACUUGAGUCAUGUCAGAAAAACUCCAUUGUAGAGCAUCUGACACCUGGCAAUUUAGAGAACAAGGGAUGAGAAAAUAAGGCCGGGGUCGGCUGGGGCUCCAACCAGAACUGGAAGCCGACCUUAACCAGGUCUGUGGGGUCAGGAUCUCUGGAGCCACGUGG
rnacentral:lncRNA from 1 species